CCGCUGAGCCCCACGAGCACGGGGCGGGGCCGGGCCGGGCGCCAACGGUCGCUCCGCCCGCUGUGUGAGGAGGGGAGGUCAUUGAGAGGCUGCCGCGUGGUUUGGCUUCAUAAGGAGAGAGAAAACCAACGGUUCUCGCAGCACUGGUGGGAUGGAAAGUGCAGUCAUGCAGGCCACGGUGAUUUCUCAUGAUAUGUAUCCAAGUACGAUGCUUUCUGGAUGAGGAAAAACGCUAUCUGCACUGAGUUUGACUUUGUGAAACUCUAGGACCCCAUCUGGUACAUCAAAGUUCAGAAGCAAGCAGACACUGGAGGACCCACGUGUCUACACAAGUGGCCUAUCACUCUCCUGUGACGUGGGCUGGAAUCCUCCCACACACAGGAGGCUGAGUGCACACCUCCCUCCAAGUCCAGAAGUGCUCUUCCAGCUGUGCUAUGGGAGGAAAUGAUGAAUGCCACCCAUGCCUUCUGUGACUCUCUGGUCACCAGCACCUGACAAGGGCACCAAGCUGUUAAUAAUAAAGAAGUUGUUGAGAGA